rnacentral:rRNA from 1 species
GAUGAACGCUGGCGGUAUGCUUAACACAUGCAAGUCGAACGGACUCUUCGGAGUUAGUGGCGGACGGGUGAGUAACGCGUCAGAAUCUGGCUUUGGGUUCGGGACAACCACUGGAAACGGUGGAUAAUACCGGAUGUGCCCAGAGGUCAAAGAGAAAUUGCAUGAAGAUGAGCUCGCGUCUGAGUAGCUAGUUGGUGAGGUAAAUGCUCACCAAGGCAGCGAUCAGUAGCUGAUCUGAGAUGAUGACCGGCCACACUGGGACUGAGACACGGCCCAGACGCCUCUGGGAGGCAGCGGUGAAGAAUGUUCCGCAAUGGGCGAGUGCGUGACGGAGGAAUACGGAGUGAGAGAAUCAGGUACUAGGGUUGAAAACCUCUGUUCGUAGGGAUGAACGACUUGACGGUACCUAAGCAGACAGCAACGGCUAACUCCGUG